rnacentral:lncRNA from 1 species
CCCAAUCUUGAUCGUAAACCAAACAUCUCGUGGCUUACAUUGUAGGCUUUCUUUGGUCUCAAUUUUUUUUCCAUCUGGGAGGGUGAUUACAAAGAUAACAGGUUCUUGCCAUCCAGAGGCACAAGGUGUAACGCAAACAUGACAUAAUACUUCAUAUAGAACUCCAGAUGAUAGUGCGUAUUGCUUCAACUUUCCACUUAUAUCCAACCAACAUACUUUUAUAAGCUGUGCCACGUCAAUUUU